rnacentral:rRNA from 1 species
UUCCGGUUGAUCCUGCCGGAGGUCACUGCUAUUGGGAUUCGACUAAGCCAUGCGAGUCGAGAGGGUUCGGCCCUCGGCUGACGGCUCAGUAACACGUGGAUAAUCUGCCCUUAGGUGGAGGAUAAUCUCGGGAAACUGAGGAUAAUACUCCAUAGAUCUAGGAUGCUGGAAUGCAUCUAGAUUGAAAGCUCCGGCGCCUAAGGAUGAGUCUGCGGACUAUCAGGUUGUAGUCAGGGUAAAGACCUGACUAGCCUACGACGGAUACGGGUUGUGAGAGCAAUAACCCGGAGACGAUAUCUGAGACACGAUAUCGGGCCCUACGGGGCGCAGCAGGCGCGAAAACUUCACACUGUGCGAAAGCGCGAUGAGGGAAUCCCAAGUGUUUGCUCGUAAGAGUAAACUGUUUCUUUGUUUAAAACGCAGAGAGAGUAAGGGCUGGGUAAGACGGGUGCCAGCCGCCGCGGUAAUACCUGCAGCUCAAGUGGUGAUCAUUAUUAUUGGGCCUAAAACGUCCGUAGCCGGUUUAGUAAAUGCCUGGGUAAAUCGUGUAGCUUAACUAUACGACUUCCGGGUAGACUACUAAACUUGAGACCGGGAGAGGCUAGAGGUACUCCUGGGGUAGAGGUGAAAUUCUGUAAUCCUAGGGGGACCACCAGUGGCGAAGGCGUCUAGCUAGAACGGGUCUGACGGUGAGGGACGAAGCCCUGGGGCACAAACCGGAUUAGAUACCCGGGUAGUCCAGGGUGUAAACGCUGCUUGCUUGAUGUUAGUUGGGCUCCGAGCCCAACUAGUGUCGGAGAGAAGUUGUUAAGCAAGCUGCCUGGGAAGUACGGUCGCAAGGCUGAAACUUAAAGGAAUUGGCGGGGGAGCACAGCAACGGGUGGAGCGUGCGGUUUAAUUGGAUUCAACGCCGGA